AGCCCUGCAGAAGAUAUAGUCACAUCUACAGAACUCUACACAGGAUGGCUCUGCUGUGCUGCAACAUUAUUCUGAUGAAGAUCAUGGACCAGGGACAAGAGUAUAAGGUUUUUCAUUUCUGUGAUGUCAUCAGAACUUAGUGGUGCUGAGAUGUACAAACAAACUGAACCUUCCCUGAUCCUCUCCAAGUCUGAGAUAAGGAAAAUGGAUGUCAAUUUCUCAGCAUGACUGCAGUUGUCUACAGAGAUAAUUGGAAUAUUUUUGCUCCUGUUGCCCUAAAGAAGGAGGGCAGGAGUGUUGUUGCUGCUUCACAGAUGAAGAGAAAAGAGUUCAAGUGGAUUUUCUCAAGGUCACACAAUGACAUCUGCAGCAGAGCUGUGAUUUGAAGCCAAAUCUCCUGAACCACAGAAUUUAGACUAUUAAAAGACCAGAAUAUAUUGGAUGUAACAACCAUAAAGACACCCAAAUCAAAUGCAUAGUUUUCAUGCCCUUCUCCCUCCUCCCCUGCCCAACAAAACAGCAAAUUGUGGGCUUGGUUUAAACGUUGCUCCAGCAAUAUAAUAGCUCUUUAAUUUGCAAAGCUUGAUAGAUAGGACUGUUCACCUAGUCCCAAAUUUGCUGGCAUGGGAAUACUGCAGGGGAACUACAAUUUUCAAAAGAAUAUUUAUUUUGAAGUAGAUACGUGCCUCAUAGU